rnacentral:lncRNA from 1 species
GGUUUGAAGUUUUGCAAUGAGAAAGGGCUCAAUGAUGUCAUUCUCGAGACGGAUUGUCAAGUUCUUUACUGGUUGCUGGUUAAAAAUGAAGUUGAUCUUUCUUAUCUGGGUUCGACGCUUGAAUCCAUUCGUUUGUUGGCGGCGAGUUUACAACAUCACGCGUUUAGUUGGACGCCCCGUGAAGGAAAUGAGGUGGCUGAUAGUUUAGCUAAGCAAGCUCUUCGUGAUUGCUUUCCAGUUUUUGUGUCUGCUGUUUCCCCCUGUCUGUCGAACUCUUUUGCUGUGCUUUAAUGAAGUUC